UACGUAGGGGGCGAGCGUUGUCCGGAUUCAUUGGGCGUAAAGCGCGCGUAGGCGGCCUGGCAAGUCGGCCGUGAAAUCUCCCAGCUCAACUGGGAGGGGUCGGGCGAGACUGCGAGGCUCGAGGUGGGCAGAGGGCAGUGGAAUUCCGGGUGUAGUGGUGGAAUGCGUAGAGAUCCGGAGGAACACCAGUGGCGAAGGCGGCUGCCUGGGCCUGGCCUGACGCUGAGGCGCGAAAGCGUGGGGAGCAAGCCGG
rnacentral:rRNA from 1 species